rnacentral:rRNA from 1 species
UACACUCCUGCAGGAGGCAGCAGUGGGGAAUAUUGGACAAUGGGCGCAAGCCUGAUCCAGCCAUGCCGCGUGAGUGAUGAAGGCCCUAGGGUUGUAAAGCUCUUUCACCGGAGAAGAUAAUGACGGUAUCCGGAGAAGAAGCCCCGGCUAACUUCGUGCCAGCAGCCGCGGUAAUACGAAGGGGGCUAGCGUUGUUCGGAAUUACUGGGCGUAAAGCGCACGUAGGCGGAUCGAUCAGUCAGGGGUGAAAUCCCAGGGCUCAACCCUGGAACUGCCUUUGAUACUGUCGAUCUGGAGUAUGGAAGAGGUGAGUGGAAUUCCGGGUGUAGAGGUGAAAUUCGUAGAUAUUCGGAGGAACACCAGUGGCGAAGGCGGCUCACUGGUCCAUUACUGACGCUGAGGUGCGAAAGCGUGGGGAGCAAACAGGAUUAGAUACCCUUGUAGUCCCAUGA